GUUCUGUUGCCCUUUUAUCUCAGGUCUGGGUGAUGUUAUGAAUGGUGAUACUUAGGUUCCUAGAACUCAGCCGGCCCAGCAUGCAUUGUGCACAGAUUUGACGUUAUCUAAGCAAGGGUUGGCUAUGGCCCAUCUUGGAGAAGGGAAGGCAUUAGGGUUGUUCUGAUGGAGCAGUUUGUUUACUCUUAGGACACAAAGGAAGAAGUACCCAGGGGGAGUGCAUGCCUGACACACUUCUGAGGAACUGAACCACCUCCAUCAGUAGCUAGCCCGAGAGAAGGCACCUUUGCAGUGUGAGAGAGGCCCACAAGGGCAAUUCUUGGCUAGUGGCUUUUCCACAGGCGUCAGGAGGGCUACAUACUAAUGCUAACACCAGACAACCGACGUCUUCCUUCCCAGCAAGUACAUCUCCUGUCUUGUCCCUGUGUGUGUUCAUUGAGUCAGUGCAGAAGGCACCAGUGGGUGAGAUUUCCAUAGGAUUCAGUCCCAAGGGCCCUUAAACUGUGAGUAAUGGAAGAGGCAUUGACCAGGGUCCAGAGAAGCCCCAGGUGUUACUGCAAGUUCCUCCCUUUGGUAGGGGCAGUGAGGCACUUCAGAGUGAGGACUUUGUAUUCUUUAGAGAUGUUAAUUCAAGGGGCGAGAUCCAAGCUGUGAAGAUGCAUUAGCGACUGGAUAUGAACUUCAAAAGGGGUAGGGUUAACAGACCUGUUAGCCAAGGUGAGAGUGAGGUUGUCAUUCUUAGGGAUGAAAUGUAGUAUCUUUAAUCCUUAGGGAUCACUUUGUGGGUGGAAGUGACAGACCAGCACCGGGAUAGAUUUUGCUCAUGGGCUAUAAUCCCUAAGAAAUUUACUAUUGCAUUGAAUUCCUAUUCCCUGUGGACAGAAGAGAUGGAACAGAGGAGAUCAGAAAGAAUAGACAAUAAUGGCCACUCAUCCUGCUUCCAGUAUGAAGAUUCCCCUACAUCUAGCAUGGACAGAAGUGUUGACAGAGGGAGGAGUUUUGGCAGAACAACAGAAGUCAAGUACGGCAAUGGCAAAGAAAAAGCCAACUACUAAGCCUGUCUGUCUACCACAUUACUUUAUUGGCUUCCAAAUAAACCCAAUCCUAGGGGACAAAAGAUGUGAAUCCAUAUCAGAAGAGAGAGGCAGUUCUGGAUUCCUGAGGUGUGUAAAGCUUUGAUUCUGCCCCCUCUCUGUAAGGUCUGUUUUCACCAGUCCAUAGCCCUAGGCUUGGUCUUGGAGCUGGGUUCUUCAGGAUAGGCUUCCUGUACAUGAGCUCAUAUGGACUCAACCUGAGUUUCCUUUGGGGGCCAUUUGCAUUCUCAAAAGUGCUGUGGGGAGAAGGGAGAUCUAGGCUGAUGAAUGAACCACAGGAGAAUUCCUAAAUUUUUGCUGAGGGUUUGGUUUGUUCUACUUUUCCUGAGGAUUGUGGCCUCCAAGUAGCGUGUGAACCCCAUUUGAUUCGUAGAGCUCUAGAGUUUCUCUUAGUAAUUUGGGAAAAUAACAUGGGCCCGUUGUGACUCUGGAUGGAUAUAAGGAGCCUGAGCUGAAGAUUACUUCCUUGAGCAAGGCCUUAGACCUCCAAGCAGUCUCUGUUUGAGUGGGGAAUGCUCCAUUAGUUGGAGAAGGUGUCAAAACCAGCAUAGGAGUUCCCUGGUAGCCUCAUGGUUAAGGAUUAGGCAUUGUCACUGCUAUGGUUCGAGUUCAUUUCCCAGCCUGGGAACCUCUGUGUACCAUGAAUGUGGCCAAAAAACAAAACAAAACCAGGAUAUAUCUAAAAUUUAAUUGCCCCAGGGCAUUACUGUGAAAUCAGAUUGCCAGUCUUAACCUGCAUAUGUGCCUUUAUACUGGGUGGGGGUCACUCCCUUGGCCUUGGGUCGGGGGAGGUGUGUUGGGCUUAUUCCAGAGGCAGAUAGGGCAGCUUUUACCACCUGUUUAAGUAGACUGCAGAAAUUGGGAGUAGUCAUGGAUUGGAUAAGCUAUUGAUACAGGGCCUCCUGCCCAUAAAGUAUGCUCUAGUGAGUUUCCCAGAGAGCAAUGGCUGAUGGGAGAAUAGCUGCCCAUGACCAUUAACCAGCUACCUGGGUAUUAUGCCUUUUAAAACAACCCCACCUUUGAGUUUCCUGGUGGCCUAGUGGUUUAGGAUUUGGCAUUGUCACUGCUGUGGCUCAGAUUUGAUC
rnacentral:lncRNA from 1 species